rnacentral:rRNA from 1 species
AGGACUACACAUGCAGUCGUGACGGACGUGAAUGAGGAGCUUGCUCCCUGAAGUCAGCGGCGGACGGGUGAGUAACACGUGGGCAACCUGCCUGUAAGACUGGGAUAACUUCGGGAAACCGGAGCUAAUACCGGAUAAUGCACAACCUCUCAUGAGGCUAUGCUGAAAGAUGGUUUCGGCUAUCACUUACAGAUGGGCCCGCGGCGCAUUAGCUAGUUGGUGAGGUAACGGCUCACCAAGGCAACGAUGCGUAGCCGACCUGAGAGGGUGAUCGGCCACACUGGGACUGAGACACGGCCCAGACUCCUACGGGAGGCAGCAGUAGGGAAUCUUCCGCAAUGGACGAAAGUCUGACGGAGCAACGCCGCGUGAGUGAUGAAGGUUUUCGGAUCGUAAAACUCUGUUGUCAGGGAAGAACAAGUGCCGGAGUAACUGCCGGCACCUUGACGGUACCUGACCAGAAAGCCACGGCUAACUACGUGCCAGCAGCCGCGGUAAUACGUAGGUGGCAAGCGUUGUCCGGAAUUAUUGGGCGUAAAGCGCGCGCAGGCGGUCUCUUAAGUCUGAUGUGAAAGCCCACGGCUCAACCGUGGAGGGUCAUUGGAAACUGGGGGACUUGAGUGCAGAAGAGGAAAGUGGAAUUCCACGUGUAGCGGUGAAAUGCGUAGAGAUGUGGAGGAACACCAGUGGCGAAGGCGACUUUCUGGUCUGUAACUGACGCUGAGGCGCGAAAGCGUGGGGAGCAAACAGGAUUAGAUACCCUGGUAGUCCACGCCGUAAACGAUGAGUGCUAA